rnacentral:tRNA from 1 species
UGGCUCAGUUGGUAAAGAAUCUGCCUGCAAUGCAGAAGACCCUGGUUCGAUUCCUGG